UUUUAUGGAGAGUUUGAUCCUGGCUCAGGAUGAACGCUGGCGGCGUGCCUAAUACAUGCAAGUCGAGCGAACGGAUGAGAAGCUUGCUUCUCUGAUGUUAGCGGCGGACGGGUGAGUAACACGUGGAUAACCUACCUAUAAGAC
rnacentral:rRNA from 1 species